rnacentral:rRNA from 1 species
AAUAUUGGACAAUGGGCGAAAGUCUGAUCCAGCCAUGCCGCUUGUGUGAAGAAGGUCUUCAGAUUGUAAAGCACUUUAAGCUGUGAGGAAGGGCAGUAAGUUAAUACCUUGCUGUUUUUACGUUACGGACAGAAUAAGGACCGGCUAACUCUGUGCCAUCAGCCGCGGUAAUACAGAGGGUGCAAGCGUUAAUCGGAAUUACUGGGCGUAAAGCGCGCGUAGGUGGUUCGUUAAGUUGGAUGUGAAAGCCCCGGGCUCAACCUGGGAACUGCAUCCAAAACUGGCGAGCUAGAGUACGGUAGAGGGUGGUGGAAUUUCCUGUGUAGCGGUGAAAUGCGUAGAUAUAGGAAGGAACACCAGUGGCGAAGGCGACCACCUGGACUGAUACUGACACUGAGGUGCGAAAGCGUGGGUAGCAAACAGG